AUCCAUCUUCUUUUUCUUCAAGUUUUUCAUAGUGAUUCCAAACAGGUGAUCGAGCAUUAGAACCAUGAAGUCGAGGCAUGAUGAAAUCUGAUUGACAAAGAAAUAGAGAAAGUAUUAGAUAUUAGAUCUACAUGGAGCUUGUUUUGCACAAGUAUUUGUAUUAACCAUAAUUUAACACACUCAUUAGUCAUCAAAAAAGAGAAGUCAAUCAUAAAUCAGACAUAAAGAUAAGAUAACACAUGUAUAUAAAAAUCCACCUCAAUAGUAAGACAUCUACCUUCCUUCUCCUUUAGUAGAGUUAGUGAAGGAAACCUCCAAUUUUACAUGUCAUCAAUGCAAAGUUCUUUUCCAAGUUUAGCCAAAUCUAAAGAGAAAUACGAUAACAAGUCAAGGCUCAAGGCUUAAACAAUAAAAAUAUUAAAUAAACUAUUCACAAUUUUACAUCAAUGAGGUUCUUUUCUUACCUUCUUCAAGUUGCUCAAGAAAAUCUAAA
rnacentral:lncRNA from 1 species